CGGCUUUGGCAGCACAUAUACUAAAAUUCGAACGAUACAGAGAAGAUUAGCAUGGCCCCUGCGCAAGGAUGACACGCAAAUUUGAGUGCCACUUUGCCUCUUA